rnacentral:tRNA from 1 species
GUGCCCGUAGCUCAAGUGGUUAGAGCGCCGCACUGUGGCUGCGGAGGCUGCGGGUUCAAGUCCCGUCGGGCACC